rnacentral:rRNA from 1 species
AUUGAACGCUAGCGGGAUGCCUUACACAUGCAAGUCGAACGGAGUGGCGAACGGGUGAGUAAUGGAUCGGAACGUGACCAGUACCGGGGGAGAACUACGCGAAAGGGUAGCUAAUACCGCAUACUAUUGGAGCGGCCGGUAUCGGAUUAGCUAGGUGGAGGGGUAAGGGCUAACCAAGGCGAAGACGCGUAGCUGGGUUGAGAGGACGACCAGCCACACUGGAACUGAGAAACGGCCCAGACUCCUACGGGAGGCAGCAGGGGGGAAUUUUGGACAAUGGGGGCAACCCUGAUGCAGCCAUCCCGCGUGUACGAUGAAGGCCUUCGGGUUGUAAAGCACUUUUGGCAGGAAAGCGGUACCGGAAGAGAAAGCACCGGCUAACUCCGUGCCAGCAGCCGCGGUAAUAC